UCCCCACACAUUUUCUCUCUCAAAACUCUUCUCCUUUCUCUUUUUUUCUCCAAAUUUCGGCAGCCACAAAACAAGGGAAAAAGGGAAGAAAAAUCCAUAUAAACACUUGUUAAUAAUAAAGGUUUUAAGUUAGAUUAUUAAAGGGUUAAGUCAAGCAAGGUUUAAGGGUUGUUUAAGGCUUGGAUUAAGGGUUGUUUAAGGCUUUAAAGGUCACGAAAAAUCUGCCAUAUCCUCCUCAUCAAAACCGAAUCCAAGAGGGCUUGCUUGGGGAAACGACGCCACUAGCCGAAGAUCUCGCAUUUGAUCAGCCCCUAUUCAUACUCCAAACAUAUUUUCUUGACCUAAAAGUGUUGAUGUUCUUGAUGGGUCAAAACAAGAAGAUCAAGACUAUCCC